rnacentral:rRNA from 1 species
UCCCAAAAAUAACGUCCCAGUUCGGACUGUAGUCUGCAACCCGACUACACGAAGCUGGAAUCGCUAGUAAUCGCGAAUCAGAAUGUCGCGGUGAAUACGUUCCCGGGUCUUGUACACACCGCCCGUCACACCACGAGAGUUUACAACACCCGAAGUCAGUGGCCUAACCGCAAGGAGGGAGCUGCCUAAGGUGGGGUAGAUGAUUGGGGUGAAGUCGUAACAAGGUACC